GCGGAGGAAAAGAAACCAACAGGGAUUGCCCUAGUAACGGCGAGUGAAGCGGCAACAGCUCAAAUUUGAAAUCUGGCUCUUUCAGGGUCCGAGUUGUAAUUUGCAGAGGGCGCUUUGGCGUUGGCAGCGGUCCAAGUUCUUUGGAACAGGACGUCACAGAGGGUGAGAAUCCCGUACGUGGUCGCUAGCCUUCGCCGUGUAAAGCCCCUUCGACGAGUCGAGUUGUUUGGGAAUGCAGCUCUAAAUGGGAGGUAAAUUUCUUCUAAAGCUAAAUACUGGCCAGAGACCGAUAGCGCACAAGUAGAGUGAUCGAAAGAUGAAAAGCACUUUGGAAAGAGAGUCAAAUAGCACGUGAAAUUGUUGAAAGGGAAGCGCUUGCAGCCAGACUUGCCUGUAGUUGCUUAUCCGGACUUUUGUCCGGUGCACUCUUCUGCGGGCAGGCCAGCAUCAGUUUGGGCGGUUGGAUAAAGGUCUCUGUCAUGUACCUCCUUUCGGGGAGGCCUUAUAGGGGAGACGACAUGCAACCAGCCUGGACUGAGGUCCGCGCAUCUGCUAGGAUGCUGGCGUAAUGGCUGUAAGCGGCCCGUCUUGAAACACGGACCAAGGAGUCUAACAUCUAUGCGAGUGUUUGGGUGUCAAGCCCAGACGCGUAAUGAAAGUGAACGGAGGUGGGAACCCUUUGGGUGCACCAUCGACCGAUCCUGAUGUCUUCGGAUGGAUUUGAGUAAGAGCAUGGCUGUUGGGACCCGAAAGAUGGUGAACUAUGCUUGAAUAGGGUGAAGCCAGAGGAAACUCUGGUGGAGGCUCGCAGCGGUUCUGACGUGCAAAUCGAUCGUCAAAUUUGGGCAUAGGGGCGAAAGACUAAUCGAACUAUCUA
rnacentral:sRNA from 1 species